AACUUUCAACAACGGAUCUCUUGGUUCUGGCAUCGAUGAAGAACGCAGCGAAAUGCGAUAAGUAGUGUGAAUUGCAGAAUUUCAGUGAAUCAUCGAAUCUUUGAACGCACAUUGCGCCCCUUGGUAUUCCAUGGGGCAUGCCUGUUCGAGCGUCAUUC
rnacentral:rRNA from 1 species